rnacentral:rRNA from 1 species
CUACGGGCGGCUGCAGCAAGGAAUAUUGUACAAUGGGGGAAACCCUGAUACAGCAACGCCGCGUGAAGGAAGAAGGCCUUCGGGUUGUAAACUUCUGUUUUAGAGGACGAAUAAAGUGACGGUACUCUUAGAGGAAGCCCCGGCAAACUACGUGCCAGCAGCCGCGGUAACACGUAGGGGGCAAGCGUUGUCCGGAAUCACUGGGCGUAAAGGGCGCGUAGGCGGUUUAUUAAGUUGCAUGUGAAAUCCCAGGGCUCAACUCUGGACCUGCAUGCAAAACUGGUAGACUUGAGUAUGGUAGAGGCAAGUGGAAUUCCUAGUGUAGCGGUGGAAUGCGUAGAUAUUAGGAGGAACACCAGUGGCGAAGGCGACUUGCUGGGCCAAAACUGACGCUGAGGCGCGAAAGCGUGGGGAGCAAACAGGAUUAGAUACCCCAGUAGUC